UUAACUAUUAUAUAGUACUCAGACAUCACUAAUAAAGAGUUCGGGUCCUCUGGCGGGCGCGAUCAGCCGGGGCCGACGCCUAAGAGGACGGCCCGCCAAAGCAACAAAGGUAAAUAAACACAGGGUGUAUGAUAUCUCCCUUUCCGAUCCGUUGCGUUUUACGGCAAAGCACCGGUCCGGUUACAUUAAUGAUCCUUCCGCAGGUUCACCUACGGAAA
rnacentral:misc_RNA from 1 species